AACGAGGUACAGUUCUGUUUAUGUAUGGCAUCUUCAGUAAAGAAGUUACGAGUAAAGACGUUGACGUUGAAUACCGCUUCCUUGCCGAACCUUAAAUUAGUGCCUCAUUCAGUAAUGUCUCUGGUUUCUCUGUAAGACUGCCUGCGGGCAAUAUAAACACUCUAAGGAAUUUGCAAAAAUGGCAAAGAUUAAAGGUCAGGUUAAGUGGUUCAACGAGUCUAAAGGUUUUGGUUUUAUUACUCCUGCUGACGGCAGCAAAGACGUGUUCGUUCACUUCUCUGCUAUCCAGGGCAACGGUUUUAAAACCCUGGCCGAAGGUCAACAAGUUGAGUUUGAAAUUCAGGACGGCCAGAAAGGCCCGGCAGCAGUUAACGUUACUGCUAUCUGAUUUCGCUCUCAGGCUCGGUGUCAUGCACCGCUGAAUCGAAUCUUAAAAGCCCUGCUCAAUGAGCGGGGCUUUUCUU
rfam:Pantoea dispersa strain SA5 contig_1, whole genome shotgun sequence.